rnacentral:rRNA from 1 species
UAAUACGAACUGUGCAAACGUUAUUCGGAAUCACUGGGCUUACAGGGUGCGUAGGCGGUCUGUUAAGUAGGGUGUGAAAGCCCCCGGCUCAACCGGGGAAUUGCGCCCUAAACUGGCGGACUGGAGUGAGAUAGGGGUGUGCGGAACUUCCGGUGGAGCGGUGAAAUGUGUUGAUAUCGGAAGGAACGCCGGUGGCGAAAGCGGCACACUGGAUCUCAACUGACGCUGAGGCACGAAAGCCAGGGGAGCGAACGGGAUUAGAUACCCCGGUAGUCCUGGCUGUAAACGAUGAGCACUAGCUGGGAGGGACGUAGGUCCUUCCCAACGGAGCGAAAGUGUUAAGUGCUCCGCCUGGGGAGUAUGGUCGCAAGGCUG